rnacentral:rRNA from 1 species
GUGCCAGCAGCCGCGGUAAUACCGGCAGCCCGAGUGAUGGCCGAUCUUAUUGGGCCUAAAGCGUCCGUAGCUGGGUGCGCAAGUCCGUCGGGAAAUCCACUCGCUCAACGAGGGGGCGUCCGACGGAAACUGCACAGCUUGGGACCGGAAGGCUCGAAGGGUACGUUCGGGGUAGGAGUGAAAUCCCAUAAUCCCGCACGGACCACCGAUGGCGAAAGCACUUCGAGAAAACGGAUCCGACAGUGAGGGACGAAAGCCAGGGGCGCCAACCGGAUUAGAAACCCCAGUAGUCC